AACUAUAACGGUCCUAAGGUAGCGAAAUUCCUUGUCAGGUAAGUUCUGACCCGCACGAAUGGCGUAAUGAUUUGGGCACUGUCUCAACAGCCCGCCCGGCGAAAUUGUAGUACUGGUGAAGAUGCCAGUUACCCGCAACUAGACGGAAAGACCCCAUGGAGCUUUACUGCAGCUUAAUACUGAAAUUCGGUAGUACAUGUACAGGAUAGGUGGGAGACUGAGAAAUACAGGCGUCAGCUUGUAUGGAGUCGCUGUUGGGAUACCACUCUUGUACUGCUGGGUUUCUAACCUGCGGCCGUGAAUCCGGUCGGGGGACACUGUUAGGCGGGCAGUUUGACUGGGGCGGUCGCCUCCCAAAAGGUAACGGAGGCGCUCAAAGGUUCGUUCAGCACGGACGGAAAUCGUGCAAUGAGUGUAAACGCAUAAACGAGCCUAACUGCGACACCGACGGGUGGAGCAGUAACGAAAGUUGGAGUUAGUGAUCCGGUGGUAUGUGAGUGGAAAUGCCAUCGCUCAACGGAUAAAAGUUACCCUGGGGAUAACAGGCUGAUCUCCCCCAAGAGUCCACAUCGACGGGGAGGUUUGGCACCUCGAUGUCGGCUCAUCGCAUCCUGGGGCUGAAUUCGGUCCCAAGGGUUUGGCUGUUCGCCAAUUAAAGCGGCACGCGAGCUGGGUUCAGAACGUCGUGAGACAGUUCGGUCCCUAUCUGUUGCGGGCGUAAGAGAUUUGAAGGGAGCUGUCCUUAGUACGAGAGGACCGGGAUGGACGUACCUCUGGUGCACCAGUUGUCCUGCCAAGGGCAUAGCUGGGUAGCUAUGUACGGACGAGAUAAACGCUGAAAGCAUCUAAGCGUGAAACUCCCCCUAAGAUGAGAUCUCUCAUCCUUUAAGGAGUAAGGACCCAGAAAGACGAUCUGGUUGAUAGGCCGAAGGUGGAAGCGCAGUAAUGUGUGGAGCUGAUCGGUACUAAUAGUCCGAGGGCUUGACCUA
rnacentral:rRNA from 1 species